CCAACUGGGCAGAGGGAUCCUCCUCCCAUCAUCACUGGGUUGUCAUUAAUUGUGUUUCAAUGAGCAAGAAGGACCUGAAUUGGCAGCAUGAAACAGGCCAGGCUGGAGAGCUGGGAGAAGUGGAACCUCAUGAAGUUCAAUAAGGACAAGUGUAGAAUCCUGCACCUGGGGAGAAACAACACCUUGCACCACUAUGGAUUACAGGCUGACUUGAUGGAAAGCAGCUCCGUGGAGACAGACCUUGCAGUCCUAGUGGACAAGAAGUUAUCCAUGUGACAGCAAUGUGCCCUGGCAGUCAAGAAGGCAAAUGGUCUCUUGGGAUGCAUUAAGAAAAAUGUGUCCAGCAAGUAAAGAGAUGUUCUCCUGCCCCUCUACUCUGCCCUGGUGAGACCACAUCUGGAGUAUUGUGUCCAGUUCCAGGCUCCCCCAUGGAAGAGAGACAGGGAUCUACUGGAGAAAGUCCAAUGGAGGCUACGAGGACAACGAAGGGACAGGAACAUCUGUCUGAUGAGGAAAGGCUGAGAAACCUGGGGCUGCUUACAGUGGAGAAGAGAUGCCUGAGAGGAAACCUCAUUAGUGUCCGUAAAUAUCUAAGGGGUGGGUGGCAAGAAUGGGCCAGUCUCUUUUCAGUGGAGUCCUGUAAAAGGACAGGGGGCAAUGGACACAAACUACAACUGUGGAAGUUCUACCUCUACACGAGAAGAAACUUCUUUACUGUUUAGAGUUCUGAAGCCCCAGUACAGGCUGCUCAGAGAGGUUGUGGAGUCUCCUCUGGAGAUUCAGAAACCACCUGGACAUAUUCUUGUGUAACCUGCCUUAGAUGAUCCUCCUUUGGCAAGGGGGUUGGACUUGAUGAUCUCCAGAGGUCCCUUCCAACCCCUAGCAAUGUAUGAUUAUGUGAAAGACUUCUUCCAACAUUUACAGCUUCUGAACUCUGAAGGCAAUUUUCUGUCAUGUCAAAUCUCUUUGAAAUGUAGACUUAUCUGGAACCAUUACCUCCUGCCUUUCUGCAUUCCUUAUCAAACUGAUUUUCUACUUUAAAGACAUAUUUUUUUAAUUAUAUAUAACCUUAACAGUAAUUCCAAGAAGAGGGUAUCUUGCAAUAAUAAUAAUAAAGUAAUUUAUUCCUGAUGUUAAUUUUUAAGAGAUGUGGAUUGAAAUUAAGCACUCCUGAUGGUAUUUGUGAAGGCUAUUGAUUAUGGCUGACUUAAGAGCAGAAUGAGGUUAAUUUUCUACCUAUCCUCUUCUGAAUGGAUUCCAUUACUGGUGGCUCUCUUUUCUCAGCGCAAAUUUAUAAGCUGUAGCAUGAUGAUGAGUUCUGGAAUCACAAAUUGGAAAUAAAUCUUUUCAGCAUGUUA